UGGAGAAAACCACAGAAGGUGGAAUUCUUUCUGCCUUUCCCAUUUGAGAAUGGAGUAUGCACGGGACCAUUUUCUGCUGAGUUACUAGUUUUUCUUAUGCUAGUUAUUUUAUUUGAUAAACAAACUUGACAUAACUUGAAAAAAAGCAGAGCAAGCAGAGACAGAGGUUACUUUCUCUACUCCAUUUAAGAAAAAUAUUGAGAUCUGAAUAAAAGCACUCCAGAAUUGUAAGCUUUUAGUUGGACCAUCAUUCCCUCUCAUGUUCAGGUGGUCG